rnacentral:rRNA from 1 species
CAAACACAAUAUUGUCCGCCAGAGAACUACAAGCGAAAAACUAGAAACUCCAAGGACUUGGCGGUGCUCCACACCAACCUAGAGGAGCCUGUCCUAUAAUCGAUACCCCACGUUAAACCUUACCACCUUUUGCCCCUCAGCCUAUAUACCGCCGUCGUCAGCCUACCUUAUGAAAGAAAAAUAGUAAGCAAAACAGUUAGCAACUAACACGUCAGGUCAAGGUGUAGCAUAUAAGAUGGAAGAGAUGGGCUACAUUUUCUACCAUAGAACACACGAAUGACACAAUGAAACACGUACCUGAAGGUGGAUUUAGUAGUAAGAUAAACAAGCAACAUUAUCUUAAACCCGCUCUGGAGCGCGCACACACCGCCCGUCACCCUCAUCAC